rnacentral:rRNA from 1 species
AUGAACACCAGCAACCCGCAGACGGCAGACGAUCCCUUCCAGCAACAUUUCCUGAAGCCGCCGGCGUCAAGCCCCUACGACAACUUCCUCAGGGUGGCAGGGUUUAUCAGGACCUGUCAAGUUGUCCUAUCCGAGGGUGGCGGGCUUGUACGGCAUCGCGAGCAGGAGGGCCAUGAGGCGUGUGCUGCUCUGCUCCUAGGGCGACCAAGAGGUCCUGCCCCGAGCUCAAGCACGUCCACGCCGACCCACCACGACAGGUUCCAUUGUGCCAAGUGGCCUCUGGCCAUCUUGCACUGGACUCCAGUAACAAAUGACCAAGCCCAAGGAGGAAGCAGCUGCUCAUCACUGAGGACAAGUAACUCCAGCAGUUUACUGGUACAUGUGUGGUUUUCUACUGUUACUUCGUUUGGGUUGGGUUGGCACCAGCGGGGAGAUGUGCACGCACGCUGGCAGCAUGAGCUAGCAGCCAUGAUUGCCAGCCAGCCACCACCAUAUUGGGACGUGGACCCAUGUCAUGAGGGCAACUUUGGCGGCCCACUCCGGCGAGAGCGCGGCUGCAGCCGCCAGGCGCGUGCUAACAAGCUUCGUGAGGGCGACCGCAGUCUGCGUCCGGGCGGCCAAGGCAGCCCAAACGGUCGCUGUUGCUUCUCAAGCGGCGGCAGCAGCAUCUGCCUCAGGGAUAGCCACUGGCGAGAGCGGCACAACAGCUGUCCGUUCCGCAAUGGCGGCCUUAGCCCUGAUGGAGGCCGCCCACUACCAUGUCGACGCCAUCGACGCCUAGCUCAUGGCGAGCCCGCCAGAGACCCGAUCGCAACCGCCCACGCCCAGCUUGUGGCGGCCUAUGCCAAAGAUAUGGCAGACGCGGAUGGCGAGAUGCUUGCCGAGUAUGGUGCAAUUGAUGCCAUGGAGCCCCUUCCCCGGGAGACCGUCGGGGGAGAGCUGGAUAUGCAGACGGCAGCACGUCGACGAGGUUGGCGCGACUUGCCGCCCUUGGCUUGCAGCCCAGCUAGGAUCCGCUUGAGCUACGCGGAGGUGGUGGAGGAGGCCACGGCCGCCGCGGCGGAGCCCAGGAGCAGGUCGUCGAGCCCGGUGGCCAGCCUGCGGAGGACGGGGACGGGUCCAUUGUGGGCGGCCCGGGGCGGGGGGCGGUGCAGGCGUGCUUGGAGGAGGAGGCCGAGGGGGAGGAGGAGGACGGGGUGCUGGCGGCGGUGCGCUUGCGGCUGCACGUUUCCAUGCACGCGACGGGUGGUCCAGCGGGGCGGCUCGCUGCCAUGCCUAGGCAGCCGGCGGCGGCCGGCAUAUCGGGCGGAUCUGCGCUUGGUCAAUCCCCGCGGCGCUGAUCGCUGGCGGCCGAAAUCGAUCUGGCGGUGGCACGGGGGAGGGGAAUGGAUCCCUAAUGGAGGUGGGAGGGGGCGCUAA